CAUGCUUUACACAUGCAAGUCGAACGGCAGCACGGGUGCUUGCACCUGGUGGCGAGUGGCGGACGGGUGAGUAAUACAUCGGAACGUGUCCAGAAGAGGGGGAUAACGCAUCGAAAGAUGUGCUAAUACCGCAUAUGCUCUGAGGAGGAAAGUAGGGGAUCGAAAGACCUUGCGCUUUUGGAGCGGCCGAUGUCUGAUUAGCUAGUUGGUGGGGUAAGGGCCUACCAAGGCGACGAUCAGUAGUUGGUCUGAGAGGACGACCAGCCACACUGGGACUGAGACACGGCCCAGACUCCUACGGGAGGCAGCAGUGGGGAAUUUUGGACAAUGGGCGCAAGCCUGAUCCAGCAAUGCCGCGUGAGUGAAGAAGGCCUUCGGGUUGUAAAGCUCUUUCAGUCGAGAAGAAAAGGCUGCAGUGAAUAACUGUAGUUUAUGACGGUAUCGACAGAAGAAGCACCGGCUAACUACGUG
rnacentral:rRNA from 1 species